rnacentral:rRNA from 1 species
GACGAACGCUGGCGGCGUGCUUAACACAUGCAAGUCGAACGGAAAGGCCCUGCUUGCAGGGUACUCGAGUGGCGAACGGGUGAGUAACACGUGGGUGAUCUGCCCUUCACUUCGGGAUAAGCUUGGGAAACUGGGUCUAAUACCGGAUAGGAGCCAUCUUUAGUGUGGUGGUUGGAAAGUUUUUUCGGUGUAGGAUGAGCUCGCGGCCUAUCAGCUUGUUGGUGGGGUAAUGGCCUACCAAGGCGGCGACGGGUAGCCGGCCUGAGAGGGUGUACGGCCACAUUGGGACUGAGAUACGGCCCAGACUCCUACGGGAGGCAGCAGUGGGGAAUAUUGCACAAUGGGCGCAAGCCUGAUGCAGCGACGCCGCGUGGGGGAUGAAGGCCUUCGGGUUGUAAACGCCUUUCGCUAGGGACGAAGCUUUUUGUGACGGUACCUAGAUAAGAAGCACCGGCUAACUACGUG